rnacentral:tRNA from 1 species
GCGAGUAUAGUCUAGCCUGGUAGGACUUUGGGUUUCCAACCCAAUAGCCGGGGUUCAAAUCCCCGUGCUCGCA